rnacentral:rRNA from 1 species
GUGUAAGACGGCAAAAGCCUCAAAUUGUUAGAAAUUGCCACCACGAGGUAAUGUGUAAUGUUGAAGAAAGAUGUUGGGUGCCGGCCGGCAGGGGUGUAAGUCCACUGGAAAGUGGCGCCACAGAGGGUGACAGCCCCGUGAACCCCUUUAACGCCCUCAUCCCAGGAUCUCCAAGAGUCGAGUUGUUUGGGAAUGCAGCUCUAAGUUGGUGGUAAUCCAUCUAAGCUAAUACCGCGAGAGACGAUGCAACAGUACGUGAUGAAGAUAAAGCCUUGAAAGAAGUGAAAGUACGUUAAUGUGAAGGGAAGGCUGCAGCAACCUUACUGGCCACAUCGGGCGGCGGGAGCAAACCACCGGGGAAUGUAUCCUUCCAGGAUUAAUAUCCCCCGGGGCUAUUUCCCUCUUCCACCCCCAGGACCU